rnacentral:rRNA from 1 species
UACGUAGGGUGCGAGCGUUGUCCGGAAUUAUUGGGCGUAAGGCGCGCGCAGGCGGUUUCUUAAGUCUGAUGUGAGAGCCCCCGGCUCAACCGGGGAGGGUCAUUGGAAACUGGGAAACUUGAGUGCAGAAGAGGAAAGUGGAAUUCCAAGUGUAGCGGUGAAAUGCGUAGAGAUUUGGAGGAACACCAGUGGCGAAGGCGACUUUCUGGUCUGUAACUGACGCUGAGGCGCGAAAGCGUGGGGAGCAAACAGG